rnacentral:lncRNA from 1 species
AGAGUGAACAGGGAGCGGGGCUUUUGUCUGUUGGUCUCCCUGGACUGAAGAGAGGGAGAAUAGAAGCCCAAGACUAAGAUUCUCAAAAUGGUAAGACUUGGUCAUCAGAGGAGAUUCUCAGUACUUCUUACCAGUCUGUUACAUAUAAAUAUCAACCACCCAUCUUCAUCCGCCUCAACCCUUCAUUGUUCUACACCCCAUCUGACCUUUAAAAGGUUCUAUCUCCAGUUCCUGGGAGCGUUGCAGUACAGCAAUUUAUGUGAAUUGGAUGUGGCAAAUUAGUUCUUUGACUUGCAAUUAUUUUGAAUAGAAAACUAAAAUUCCUCUUUCAGAAGUGAGGAUUUAUUUAAUUUGAACAACAGAAACUAUUCGGUUCUUUAAGAAGAGUGAUGUGUUGUGACACGCAUGGAGGUGGUGACAGCAGUAGGGCUCAAACAAAGCCUUGGGUCUUAGAGCUAGGCCGAAGUUACCCAAAACUGAGGAGUCUGUCCAGCUGAUCAAAC